UUGUUGGUAAGGUAAAGGCUUACCAAGGCUUCGAUCAGUAGCUGGUCUGAGAGGACGGCCAGCCACACUGGGACUGAGACACGGCCCAGACUCCUACGGGAGGCAGCAGUGGGGAAUUUUGGACAAUGGGGGAAACCCUGAUCCAGCCAUGCCGCGUGAGUGAAGAAGGCCUUCGGGUUGUAAAGCUCUUUCAGCCGGAACGAAACGGUUACGGAUAAUACCCGUGACUACUGACGGUACCGGAAGAAGAAGCACCGGCUAACUACGUGCCAGCAGCCGCGGUAAUACGUAGGGUGCGAGCGUUAAUCGGAAUUACUGGGCGUAAAGCGUGCGCAGGUGGUUUUGUAAGUCAGAUGUGAAAGCCCCGGGCUCAACCUGGGAACUGCGUUUGAAACUACAAGACUAGAGUGUGGCAGAGGGGGGUGGAAUUCCGCGUGUAGCAGUGAAAUGCGUAGAGAUGUGGAGGAACACCGAUGGCGAAGGCAGCCCCCUGGGUUAACACUGACACUCAGGCACGAAAGCAUGGGGAGCAAACAGGAUUAGAUACCCUGGUAGUCCAUGCCCUAAACGAUGUCAACUAGUUGUCGGGCCUUUACGGGCUUGGUAACGUAGCUAACGCGUGAAGUUGACCGCCUGGGGAGUACGAUCGCAAGAUUAAAACUCAAAUGAAUUGACGGGGACCCGCACAAGCGGUGGAUUAUGUGGAUUAAUUUGAUGCAACGCGAAAAACCUUACCUACCCUUGACAUGUAUCGAAGCCCGCAGAAAAGCGGGGGUGCCCGAAAGGGAACGAUAACACAGGUGCUGCAUGGCUGUCGUCAGCUCGUGUCGUGAGAUGUUGGGUUAAGUCCCGCAACGAGCGCAACCCUUGUCAUUAAUUGCCAUCAUUUAGUUGGGCACUUUAAUGAGACUGCCGG
rnacentral:rRNA from 1 species